AUGCCCUGGUUGCAGGAAGGUGGUUUUCUCAGAGUGAGGCUUAUACAUUGCACUGUGGACGUGCUGACCCCCGCGAUUCCCCCAGUUAUGGGAAACUUGAGAGCUCAAUUUGUGGUAGUGAGGGGCUGCGUUCAUGUUUUA
rnacentral:snRNA from 1 species